GAUGAACGCUGGCGGCGUGCCUAAUACAUGCAAGUCGAGCGAACGGACGAGAAGCUUGCUUUUCUGAUGUUAGCGGCGGACGGGUGAGUAACACGUUGAUAACCUACCUAUAAUACUGGGAUAACUUCGGGAAACCGGAGCUAAUACCGGAUAAUAUUUUGAACCGCAUGGUUCAAAAGUUAAUGACGGUCUUGCUGUCACUUCUAGAUGGAUCCGCGCUGCCUUAGCUAGUUGGUAAGGUAACGGCUUACCAAGGCAACGAUGCAUAGCCGACCUGAGAGGGGGAUCGGCCACACUGGAACUGAGACACGGUCCAGACUCCUACGGGAGGCAGCAGUAGGGAAUCUUACGCAAUGGGCGAAAGCCUGACGGAGCAACGCCGCGUGAGUGAUGAAGGUCUUCGGAUCGUAAAACUCUGUUAUUAGGGAAGAACAUAUGUGGAAGUAACUGUGCACAUCUUGACGGUACCGAAUCAGAAAGCCACGGCUAACUACGUG
rnacentral:rRNA from 1 species